UGAAAAUAUUUUGUGUUUUGGGGAUGGGGAACUAGAAACUUGGAGAUAAAACAAAAUAGAGUUUGUGUACUUGUUCUGAGGUUCUUGUGAAACUUGGAGCCUUGGAUUGGUAAAUACAGGGAGGAGACUGUCUUUGGCAGCAGCAAGUUGUUAGACCAGUGCAAGUUAUCUGUAUGUGGCAUCAUUUUGAAUUUAUAUUGACUCUGUAAUGUGACAUUGGUUGCUGAUUUGUUUUUUCCUAGUGUGGUAUACAAUUCUAAAUUAGCAAGAAAUAACAAUGAUGAUUGUUGCUUUUAUAUAUUCAUACAUACGUAUAUAUAUAUAUAUAUAUGUUGCAUUUAUUUAUAUAUAACAGGACAGAACCAAACCCUAUAUUUUCCUAAUCUCAGUGUUAUGCUGAAGAAAAUUCUACGUCUCUUCAUUUCCUGUGCCCUUGGCCAUAUGUGUGUAUAAUGAUUGACAUCAUUAACAAAGCAGAUUUCUUUCACCUGCAGUAUGCUGCUUUUUAUAAAUAGCUUCUAAAGAACUUUGUAAACUACGUUAGGAUCAUCAUCCUAAUUCUAUAGAUUAUUUACCAAGGCAGUCCAAUGCUAGAGAAGGAAUGGAAUUCAGGUCUUCUGAAUUGCAGUUCAGUCCUGUUGAGGACUGAACCUGAGUUCAGUCAUUUCAAUCACAAUUCAUUAAAAUGUUCAUUAAAGGCAGUGAUCAAGGAUGGUAUGAGAUACAAGUGGGGUGUAUAUAUAUAUGUAUGUAACAUUUGGUGAUUUUUUUUUUGGUAAGGCUUUUCAUUGUCCCCAUUUGCUGUACUUUGGGUCCAACAUCAAGGUGUGGUCUAGAAUCACACAAAUGGGCUUCCUAUUGGAUGAAUCUAAGCCUUGACAGUAAAUUCCCCAAGCAGAACUAAUUCAUUCCAUAAACUAAUAAAUGGUCAGUCCCUGGGACUAGACCAGAGCAAAUUCAAAGCAUUUUUUUUCAGAUCCCCUCUAACGCCCCUCAGAAGGUAUGUAGUGUAAAUAAUGUGUCCUCAACACUAUUUUGAUGUGUAGUAAACUCUUAAAA